rnacentral:rRNA from 1 species
AUUGAACGCUGGCGGCAUGCUUUACACAUGCAAGUCGAACGGUAACAGGCCGCAAGGUGCUGACGAGUGGCGAACGGGUGAGUAAUGCAUCGGAACGUGCCCAAUCGUGGGGGAUAACGCAGCGAAAGCUGUGCUAAUACCGCAUACGAUCUACGGAUGAAAGCGGGGGACUCGCAAGAGCCUCGCGCGAUUGGAGCGGCCGAUGUCAGAUUAGGUAGUUGGUGGGGUAAAGGCUCACCAAGCCAACGAUCUGUAGCUGGUCUGAGAGGACGACCAGCCACACUGGAACUGAGACGCGGUCCAGACUCCUACGGGAGGCAGCAGUGGGGAAUUUUGGACAAUGGGCGCAAGCCUGAUCCAGCAAUGCCGCGUGCAGGAAGAAGGCCUUCGGGUUGUAAACUGCUUUUGUACGGAACGAAACGGUCUGGGUUAAUACCCUGGGCUAAUGACGGUACCGUA